GUGGUGUAAUGGAUCAGCACGGCAGACCGGGUAUCUGGAAGCGUGGGUUCGAAUCCCGCCCGAGGUU
rnacentral:tRNA from 1 species